GACGAACGUUGGCGGCGUGCUUAAUACAUGCAAGUCAACUGAAGCACCGGUAGUAAUACUGGUGUGGAGGUGGCGCACGGGUGAGUAACACGUAGGUAGUCUGCCUUCAGGUCUGACAUAACCCCGAGAAAUCGGGGCUAAUAGCAGAUGAUGCAGCGGCUUGACAUCAAGACAGUUGUUAAAGCUUCGGCGCCUGAAGAUGAGCCUGCGUCUGAUUAGCUAGUUGGCGGAGUAAUAGCCCACCAAGGCGACGAUCAGUAGCUGGUCUGAGAGGAUGAUCAGCCACACUGGAACUGAGACACGGUCCAGACUCCUACGGGAGGCAGCAGUAAGGAUAUUGCUCAAUGGGAGAAAUCCUGAAGCAGCAACGCCGCGUGAGGGA
rnacentral:rRNA from 1 species